rnacentral:rRNA from 1 species
GUGUCAGCCGCCGCGGUAAUACGGAGGGGGCUAGCGUUAUUCGGAAUUACUGGGCGUAAAGCGCGCGCAGGUGGCGCAGUAAGUGGCUGGUGAAAGCCCUCGGCUCAACCGAGGAACUGCCUGCCAAACUGCUGCGCUUGAGGCCGGGAGGGGGAAGCGGAAUUCCUGGUGUAGCGGUGAUAUGCGUAGAUACCAGGAGGAACACCGGUGGCGAAGGCGGCUUCCUGGACCGGUUCUGACACUCAUGCGCGAAAGCGUGGGGAGCAAACAGGAUUAGAAACCCUAGUAGUCC